AUUGAACGCUGGCGGCAGGCCUAACACAUGCAAGUCGAGCGGCAGCGGGAAAGUAGCUUGCUACUUCUGCCGGCGAGCGGCGGACGGGUGAGUAAUGCCUGGGAAAUUGCCCAGUCGAGGGGGAUAACAGUUGGAAACGACUGCUAAUACCGCAUACGCCCUACGGGGGAAAUCAGGGGACCUUCGGGCCUUGCGCGAUUGGAGAUGCCCAGGUGGGAUGAGCUAGUUGGUGAGGUAAUGGCUCACCAAGGCGACGAUCCCUAGCUGGUCUGAGAGGAUGAUCAGCCACACUGGAACUGAGACACGGUCCAGACUCCUACGGGAGGCAGCAGUGGGGAAUAUUGCACAAUGGGGGAAACCCUGAUGCAGCCAUGCCGCGUGUGUGAAGAAGGCCUUCGGGUUGUAAAGCACUUUCAGCGAGGAGGAAAGGUUGAUGCCUAAUACGUAUCGACUGUGACGUUACUCGCAGAAGAAGCACCGGCUAACUCCGUGCCAGCCGCCGCGGUAAUAC
rnacentral:rRNA from 1 species